GCUGGGAGCCCGCCGUUGUCAAGAGAGAAGUUGCGAGGGGCAGAGGAUCAUGGCGCUAGAACUUGUCGAUGCGCAGGGAGUUCGCCGAAGGGCGUUAAAGAGCACCGAAGCCUUGGCGAGUUUCCUCCAUACUCCAAAAUUUGUCGUCGUGCCGUUACAGCGAGGGUCGACGUCACUGCGGUCUCGUUGCCGGUGAGCAUCUUUCUCGUUGUGUCAUCGUUUUCUCUGUUUAUUUUUUUGUGCGACUCGGACGGUUUAGUGCUCAGAAGUAUGUCGACACCGCGUCAUGACCAGGCAGAGCGCCACCGUGGCUAGCGGUUGCUUCCGUGCCUGGUUAAUCGGGGAGAGCGUGGUGGAGGGAUUGCCAGCAAUGGCGCUGCCACUGUCUGUUAUCGGCCGCUGUGACCGGUUGGUUAGGAGGAAGAAGAAACGAGGAGGUCGUCGAUCGUGGAACGAACGACAAGGAUGUGAUCUGGUAUUCUGGUUCGGCCGUGGUGUGGUUAACCAUAGAUCUUCGAUCGUGGUGCCGUGGGUGGUCUGAAGUUCAUUAAAUCCGAUUCGUCGGAUUUUGAUCCGAUGGCGGUCCUCGCGUACCGCUUCAGUGUUGGAGCGAUUUAGUCCUGGCCCUCGAAUCUGAUCGGGUGGCUGAGAUCGACUCGUACCCCUUCGUUGUGCCUAGUUUGCAAAAGAGACCCUGUAUUAAUAGUUUAUCAACCCGCAGUCCUGUCUGUGGGAAUCCUGAGUCUCAUGAAGUUUUGCGUAAUAACCCCUGUGUCUCUCUGUUAUUUGCGCCCAGCCCAGAAGCUUAGGAAAUUUAGAAAAAUAAUUUAGGAAAUGGUUUUUGUGUAUAAAAAUAUAUCCGGAACUUAUUUAAUUCAUAGAAAUUCUAUUUUUACUCCUUUUUAACCCAUUCCUGUUGCAAUAAUUUUGUAUUAAUAUUGUCUAUCAACUAAUAACACUGUUUAGCCAUGAAACUUGAAUUGAAUUUGUUCAUUAGGAUUAAUCUAUUCUAAGCACUAAAUAAUUUCGAAAAUUCAUAACUUAAUAAUCGUAGCUCCGAAUUUAGUGGUUCUCGUUCCUACGAUCUCGUAGAAACAUGUAGAUUAUUAUUAUUCAGUUUGUUCUUAUGUUUGGUGUGAUGUUAAUUUUGCUUAUACCAUGUCUGUUUGUAUUGGUACGACUAGCGCGAGGUUACGAGUCACCUGAAGAUCAUCCUGGUACCUGGAAUCUCAAGUCCCAGGCAAGUUGUGCCCUUGAUCACUUCUUUUUACCCAGUCAUGUUCUGAUUAAUCAUAAUGAUCUGCAUAGGUUAAUUUUGAUGGGACCCAACAGGUUACCCUAGUUUGAUUAUCUUUAUACCUUGACUCCACUAAACUUUUUGGGUAGUACCUGCUAUUGCUUUAUGUGGUUUUGGGUAUGAAGAUUACACUAUUCAUGAUUACACUUUUUAUUAUCUGUUUAUUAUUUAUUGUUCAUGUUAAGAUCAUUAUGUUAAUUGGAACAUGGAGAACCACCCGGAAAAACAGUGCUACCAUAAGGGUUUAUGGACGCCCUUGGCUGAUUAACUAGGAAAGCUAGUUGAUGAUUACCUUACCCGAAAGGGGCAAGGGCAGUAGGGGAGUGGUCAGUGUAGGGAGGUCCUUGGUUGAUUUUGCUGCGAUGGCGGUUAGUCAAAGGACUCCUGCACUGGAACUUCCUAUAAACUGUAGCGGGUUUUUUGAAGCUAGUGGAAUUUUGUAAAGGCCUCGUAGUGUUACCCUGCCUCGCCUCCUCGGUAGAGGUGUAUGGGAUUGGCCGUCUCUUGGCAGAUGGGUAACAUGACUUGUGGGUAAAGAUGCGCAACCUCUGUAGAGUGUAAAACUGGUAUACUAGCCAUGCUCACGGUCAUGAGCAGCUUGGACACUCACAUGAUUAAUUUAUGAAACUAAAUUCAAUUUGUCAUAUGCAUUGCAUCGCAGGUGAUGUUGUUACUUUUGUUCUACUACUUAAUUGGGUUGGUAUUUACUUAUACUUAGUAACUGCUAAUAAAUUUUUGACCAACUUUAAAAGCAAUGCUCAGCUCUAACCAUCCUCUUUGGUAAGCCUUAUACUUCACAUGAGCUCCCACCUUUGGCGAGUUCAUGCACAUUAUUCCCCAUAACUUGUUGAGCUAUGAACAUAUGUGAGCUCACUCUUGCUGUCUCACACCCCCCCACAGGUCAAGAACAGGUACCGCAGGAUGAGGCG
rnacentral:lncRNA from 1 species